GAUAUUAUAGGAUAUAAUUAAUCCGUGGACCUUCAAAGUCUAAAAUAAUCUUUAGGUUUUAUAUCG
rnacentral:tRNA from 1 species